GAAAAUCUUCAGAAAUUAUGCUCCAGUCUCAAUAAUAAAUGAAAUUAUGAUGUGAAAAAGAAGAUGAUGGAAACAUGAAAUGCAAACUGAAGUCUGAGAAAACACUUGAAAUUGAACAGGUGGCUACACAAUCUUCAGGCUUCGUUGUCUCAAACAGCUCUAUCCAGAGACACAGCAUCAGGGAUAAUCAAGGAGCUAAGAGUACUUAUUAUAUCUUUUCCCCCCACUUUGGUCAUAGAAGAAAUAUCUUUCCCUGAGAAAAACUACAUGUACUAAAGCUUUUAUUACUCUUGGGCCAGAAGUGAAUUGCUUGUCAACUUCUAAUUCAGGAGAGAGACUGAGAAGGAGGAAAAAAGGACACUAAUCCGAUUGGAUCAACUGUGUUUCAUUAGCCUGGCCUGGGAUCCUGAGGAGCAAAGAAGUUCAGAUUCCUAGUGGCAAUGUCAAAUGAUGCCUCCUGUUGGUUCAGCAAGUAACUGCAG
rnacentral:lncRNA from 1 species